rnacentral:lncRNA from 1 species
GCAUUUCUACUCUUCUGUCCAAACUUCCAAUGAACAAACCUUGGCCUUGCUUGCAACAAGAAAAGCUUCAUUUUCCUGUCAUGAGGAACUAGCAGACCAAGCACUUACCCUCUUAUUUCCCUCAAGCCUCAAUCCUGGCAUUUUCAGAAAAAUAGUCAAAACUUCCUAAAGAAUUGAAGCCUAGCAUUGUUUCUUCACCACCAUUUUCAUCAUGUUGAGCCACAAGACAACAAGCCAACAGAAAAAGCCUUGUGCUCUCACUCUCUCAAAAGAAGCACAUUUUGGCCAUUACCAUUUUCUGUCAAU